UACGGAGGGUGCGAGCGUUGUCCGGAAUCACUGGGCGUAAAGGGCGCGUAGGUGGCGCCUGCAAGUCAACGGUGAAAGCUCGACGCUUAACGUCGAGUCGGCCGUCGAAACUGCAGCGCUCGAGCACUGUAGAGGCUCAUGGAAUUCCGGGUGUAGCGGUGGAAUGCGUAGAGAUCCGGAAGAACACCGGUGGCGAAGGCGGAGAGCUGGGCAGUUGCUGACACUGAUGCGCGACAGCG
rnacentral:rRNA from 1 species